GCCAGCAUAGCGAAGUGGUUUGAGUGUUGGACUGUAACUCUAGAGACCAGGUUUCAAUUCCAUGCUUGGCC